rnacentral:misc_RNA from 1 species
UGGCGCACUGCAAAUGCUUGCAACAAAUAUUGAGUAUGAUGAACACAAAGGACGAAUUGCUAUUGGACGUUUGCAUGCUGGAGUUCUGCGGAAAGGAAUGGAUGUGAGGGUAUGCACAUCAGAAGAUUCAUGUAGAUACGCAAGAAUUAGUGAACUUUUUGUGUAUGAGAAGUUCAGUAGGGUUCCAGCAGAUACUGUGGAAGCUGGUGACAUUUGUGCUGUCUGUGGAAUUGAUGAUAUUCAAAUUGGGGAGACAAUUGCAGAUAAAGUAUCUGGGAUUACCUUCUAUCAAAGUGGAAGAACCCACAGUGAAAAUGGCUUUCUCCAUAAACACUUCACCAUUUGUUGGCCGUGAGGGGAAAUAUGUUACUAGCAGGAAUUUACGAGAUCGACUCUAUCGUGAGCUUGAGCGAAAUUUAGCUAUGAAGGUUGAAGAUGGUGAAACUGCAGAUACAUUUGUUGUUAGUGGGCGUGGUACUCUACAUAUCACCAUAUUGAUAGAGAACAUGCGAAGACAAGGAUAUGAAUUCAUGGUGGGACCUCCUAAGGUCAUUAACAAGAAAGUGGAUGAAAAAGUGCUAGAACCGUAUGAGAUUGCCACUGUGGAGAUACCGGAAGAACACAUGGGGUCUGUGGUUGAGCUUCUUGGUAAAAGGCGUGGGCAGAUGUUUGAUAUGGAAGGUGUUGGGUCGGAGGGAACAACACUACUAAAAUAUAAGAUUCCUACACGUGGCCUUCUUGGAUUGCGGAAUGCAAUUUUAACAGCUUCUCGUGGCACAGCAAUUCU